AUUAACUCCAAUAAAUUAAAACCCAUCAAAAUAUGGAGUGACGUCUCAUUUAACCAAUCAAAAGUUGACCUUCAAAGCUUUUCUCUGAUUGGCUGAACGCCGAUCCAAGUUUGUGAUCAGCACCUGCUGUUAUCAUCAUUGUUUGACUUGAAUUGCUAGCUAGCUUGUUUCUUUCGAGUUCUCAGGUAAAUUAGCAUGGUGGAAAGGGAAUUAUUGUCGAAAAUUAAACAAAUAAAACUCUACUACAGCUUUAUUGAACCAAGCAGUAGAAGGUUGCUGUUUUUUUUUCUUCAAUUAACUAUCAUCUUGGCUAAGACAGGGGAAGCACAAGUACUCGUGGAGAACAACAAGGAGAAAAAAAAAAGUCUUCAACGACUUUGAGGAGUCCCGUAAACGCCGCUGAUGGCCUCCAGGACAAAUGGUCACAAGCUCUGCGGAGCCAGCGUGGAACAAUUGGCCACCUGGGAAAAUUAGGAGGAGGCGAGGACGCGGCGAGGAUGAGGAGGCGGAGGAGGAAGAGCUGAGCGGAGCUGAGGUGGGGACGGACUAAUUGGGCAGAGAAGAAGCCGUAUCAAGUUGCUGCUAAGGAGCGAAGCUAAAGAUGCAGCAUUCUUUGGCCACAAUCGUCGUAGCGCCGCGCGCGCCCAUGGUCGACUCUCGCUGGACCGCGUCGCAAGAUCGUUCCACCCCUUGAGAGAUAAGUCAAUACGGGAAAGCAGAGGAUGAUAAAAGGACAUUAACGUUUAUUAAAGCUCAGCCGGCUGGAUUAAAGUUCCCGCAUGUCAUGAGAUCAAAGCUCUUGACUUCAUUGAACUCGCAUCCGACGGGCCGAAUGAAAAGGUCUCCAGGUGGCGAGAAAACGUUUUCAUUCACCUCAUUUGCAUCCAAGCAACUUGACGUUUCUCUUCUUUUCUUUUGAAAAGACUGAAAGAUGGUGGUCUGUGGGGUUGGGGGGAGGGGGGAUGAAGGUCAAACGAAUGAGGCCUUGUCAGUUAUUCCAUGCGCUGCUUCGUCAUCAUGCUAAUUCAGACAUGCACGGCGCUUGACGUUUUCUUUUGUUUCGCAUGUCUUUAGCGUCGUCGUCGGAAGCCGAGUCCACAAGGCGAUGCGCGCUUCCCACUCGGUCCGUCUUUGUGUCACCGCUGGCGUU